AGAUCUGACUCGACAGUGUUUUGUGGCUUAUUUAUAUUUGCAAAAGCCGGCUGAAUUAAGCUUGCGAGGGAGACAGACACCAGAGCUUGAAUUGUUGCAGUUCUCCUCUGCCUCAGCCCUGGUUCUCUCGUUAAAACACAUUGUGAGAGUCACUCAAUGCCUUCCCUGUCCAAAGGCAGCAAUCCUCACUCUCCAAGAAUGGAGCCGGGCGUUUUGAUCUUCCUGCUGUACGUUGUGAUUGUCCAUGAAUUGGUUUGCGGUUGGAUGGAGUACAAAAGGCAAGCAGCCAAACCCAAAAAACAAGCAAGUCCCGUCUGGUCCUCGGGGUAUGUGAAGUGCAGGAGCCCGGCUAACACCAGGUGGCCAACCCACACCAUGAAACGGGAGAAGUUCAGGGACUGGAAGAAGUCUGGACGUAUUGUGAGGAAAGCGUGAAACAGCAAUGUAACUCAGUGCUAUACUUGUCAAGGUGGGGAGAUCUGUUACAUCCCUAACGUCUGCACAAAGCUGUCAAUCCAGAACCCAUCAGAGUGCGGUGGCGGAGCCUGUCACACCAAAUGUCUUGUGUCAUAUAAUUGUUGCAAAUGAAACAACUGACAUUGA